UACGGAAGGCAGCAGUGGGGAAUAUUGCACAAUGGGCGAAAGCCUGAUGCAGCUAUGCCGCGUGUAUGAAGAAGGCCUUAGGGUUGUAAAGUACUUUCAUCGGGGAGGAAAAACAAAACUAAUAAUUUUAUUUCUUGACGUUACCCGAAAAAGAAGCACCGGCUAACUCCGUGCCAGCAGCCGCGGUAAUACGGAGGGUGCUAGCGUUAAUCAGAAUUACUGGGCGUAAAGAGCACGUAGGUGGUUUUUUUAAGUCAGAUGUGAAAUCCCUGGGCUUAACCUAGGAACUGCAUUUUGAAACUGAAAUACUAGAGUAUCGUAGAGGGAGGUAGAAUUCUAGGUGUAACGGUGAAAUGCGUAGAUAUCUGGAGGAAUACCUGUGGCGAAAGCGGCCUCCUAAACGAAUACUGACACUGAGGGUGCGAAAGCGUGGGGAGCAAACAGGGAUUAGAUACC
rnacentral:rRNA from 1 species